rnacentral:lncRNA from 14 species
GGUUAUUUCGACGAGAUUGUGGGUUCUCUAUAUUGCUUACUCAGACAGGGAUAAUAACAGAAUACAACUGUGUGUGUGUUUAUAGUUUCAAUUGAAGAAGCCCUUAAGGACGAUCAGGAGGAGAUUAAUGGUGAUUGCAUCUCCAGAGCCUGUUUGUUCCGUAAUGAACUUGGCACUACCUCAACGGCAGCUAGAUGUCAAGGAACAUGGAAGGGACCGGAGGUGGAAGAAGAGGAAGAGGAGGGCAGCCCUGACAGAGAACACAAGCUUAACCUCAGGGUGAUAGUUGGAAAGCCACUCACUCACAUUGGUAGGCAGAAGAUCUGAGCCUGUUCUGGCCCUUACACUUUAAAUAAUAUGCUGUUUACUAGUGGCAGCUGGGUAUAUCUGCCUAUAUGACAGGUAGGCAUUCAUGUGAAAAUUCCAAGUAACUUUUUGUCCUCUUUGACUUGGUUUAAUAAAAGAUUUUAUUCCACAAGUUGGUAAUGAUCGUUCAUCAAAUUGUCUGUUCUGUACCUCUGACAGAAGAGCCUAUUAGAGAAAUGUGGAAAACAUGUCAACCUCCAAUCCAAACA